UCAUCCUCUCCCAGUGGUCUCUCACCGUUCAUCUAGUAGACGUGCAUACAAUACGUCUGUUGACUCGUUUUUGUUAUGCGCUGUGCCUUGUUUUCAUUGUAGCAAGUAGUUGAUUUGACUCGCAUUCCCAUUCUCAUGGUUAUUUUGAUUUCAAGACACACACACACACACACAAACAGAUUUGUUCCUCCCGUUUUCAAUUUGCCUCAGACAAAGUCAUUGUCAGUAGAGAUAUCAAGACCAUCAUUAUAAAAAUGUGAGUUUAUUGAAUUCAAUGGCUGUGUUUCGUCCAAAGUGCACCUUUAGUAGGCUACGGCGUAAUGAGAUCAACGACGAGAGUCACGACUGAGAUCACUGGUAAACUGACUGAGGUUUCGUUACAGAAGAUGAGAUCAAAUAACUGGCCAUACAUUUUCCAGUUCAACACUGAGGAAUGGAAACAUACGUAGUGCAUGAUUGAGAACAAAGAAAGGCAAAACAACACAAUGAAACGCUCUGGUGUGAUAUGCAAUUACGAUAGCUACUCUACUUUCAAGAAAUUAGGACAUUCUUUUUUCCAGCGACUGUCCUCGCAGUUUGCUGUUGAAAGAACAUCACGUGCUAAAAACGUGCUGGUGCAGGACAAUACGCGGUUUAAAGAAAUAUUUAAAUAAAUGGCAAAAGACUGACACGAUUUGUAGAAGAAAAAUCAAUCCAAAAUGUGAGGUUAAUCGGAAGAACGUAGCGAGGAAAGAAAAAGAAAAA